CGGUUGGUGGAGAAUGAUGAAAUCUAUUUUUGAACUGCCGAAAUUCUAUUGGUCCACCAACAAAAAAAGGACAUUUUGCCAAAACCUCUAUGUUGGGAUGCUCGAACUCUGUACUUAUUCUUCUCAUGUCUACAGUACUUUGCUGCCCCCCUGCAAACAAAGCUUUAAGCUAGUGGUGAUACUGGAUGGAGGGAAAACUUCUGCGGAGGUUUUACAGGCAGGUGUGACACGUGUUGAUUGGAUAGGGCAUAAGCUGCCCAACCUGACUUGGACCUGAAAGACACAAAAUGGGUAUGGCCUGAAUCGUCAUAAGGAAAAGACAGGAAACUUCAGGCCUACCUCUGCUGUGGGCCCAACAAUGGUUCUCUGUCCGUUAGGCAAGCCUAGGUGCACAAGAGAAGGAAAAGGGAAAUGGGUUGAACAUGUCAAGACAAACAAGGAGGCUAUGAAGAAAAAAACCCGAGAAGGGUUGAACAGGGUGGGCAAAGCAAAGAAACCAAGAAGAGAAAGAGUCUAAGAGUUACAUGGCUCUGGUAGCCUAAGAAGGAAACCUGAUCCAGCCUUUAAAAUAGAAAUUUUCUGUCGAGGAGGGGACCUCAAGGAGUACAGAGGAAGCUUAUGGAGUUGAAGUGACUGGCAAUGCAUGCAUCGCAGAGAGCCACGGUGGUCCUGUGGCGAUUGUCAAAAUACAUGAAAGGGAAGAAGUUGAAUUGAUGCCACUUGCGAGGAUCAACAAACCUAAGGCGGAUGAGUGAUCACCUUUCAUAGAUAUGUCUUUUCUUUUUUCGCCCAUUUCUAAUCUUGGAAUUAGGACGAUGUCUGAGGUACAGUAUGGCGAAAUCAUUUGUAGAGGUUCAUUAACAAAUAGACCUAGUUCCUCACACAUAGACAUAGUCUGUGAAGAACAGAUUUACUCCACCUGGGUUUUAAGAAAUGUUCGGUGAGUUAGCAAGUCUCUGGGAGUCUCCUUUGCCAGUUUUGAACACCAAGUCAUGCACCUGUUUGCUAAACUUGAAAAAACGAUGUGGGAAAAGAGAAAAAAUGAUGGGUCUUUGGGAAAAAACCGUAAGAAGCAGAGCUCGGGAGGGGUAAGGAAGCUAAAGAAACUGCAAUCUUCCAUUAAUUAUGGAGGCAAAAGCAAGAAGAGCUCAAAGUUGGGGGGAGAAUCAUCAUUACCUAAAUGAUUGAUGACAUGCUCUUAUGGAAUUUUGGGGGUUUAAAUGGCUCAGAGAAGAGAAAUAUCAUCAAGGGUUGCCUUAGCAGAUGGAAGCCUGUAGUUGUCUGCUUUCAGGAAACCAAGAUUGAGGCCGUUAAUGAUUUGUUCACUAAAAGCCUCCAGUGAAUUGAUGAAAUGGGGUAGGAAUUGCUUCUGGCUAAGGGGACCGCCAGGGGUGUCCUCCUAUUGUGGAAUAAAGAGUCUAUAGAAUGCAAAGAUUCCAUUAUUGAGGAGAUUACCUCUUCUUGCCUAUUUGUCAACAAAAGGAAUAAUGGUAUCUCAGGUGUUUAUUAUAGAGGGAACGUCGAGG
rnacentral:lncRNA from 1 species